GCAGACGUGGCGUAAUUGGUAGCCGCGCAGCCUUGAGGUGGCUGUGGACAUAGUCUGUGUGGGUUCGAGUCCCACCGUCUGCACCA
rnacentral:tRNA from 1 species